GGGGUGAGCGUAUCGGGAUUCUGGGGCGUAAGCGCGCGUAGGUGGCUUGAUAAGCCGGUUGUGAAAGCCCCGGGCUCAACCUGGGAACGGCAUCCGGAACUGUCAAGCUAGAGUGCAGGAGAGGAAGGUAGAAUUCCCGGUGUAGCGGUGAAAUGCGUAGAGAUCGGGAGGAAUACCAGUGGCGAAGGCGGCCUUCUGGACUGACACUGACACUGAGGUGCGAAAGCGUGGGUAGCAAACAGGAUUAGAUACCCUGGUAGUCCACGCCGUAAACGAUGUCGACCAGCCGUUGGGUGCCUAGCGCACUUUGUGGCGAAGUUAACGCGAUAAGUCGACCGCCUGGGGAGUACGGCCGCAAGGUUAAAACUCAAAUGAAUUGACGGGGGCCCGCACAAGCGGUGGAGCAUGUGGUUUAAUUCGAUGCAACGCGAAGAACCUUACCUACUCUUGACAUCCUGCGAACUUGUGAGAGAUACCUUAGUGCCUUCGGGAACGCAGAGACAGGUGCUGCAUGGCUGUCGUCAGCUCGUGUUGUGAAAUGUUGGGUUAAGUCCCGUAACGAGCGCAACCCUUGUCCUUAUUUGCCAGCGCGUAAUGGCGGGAACUCUAAGGAGACUGCCGGUGACAAACCGGAGGAAGGUGGGGACGACGUCAAGUCAUCAUGGCCCUUACGAGUAGGGCUACACACGUGCUACAAUGGUCGGUACAAAGGGUUGCCAACUCGCGAGAGUGAGCCAAUCCCGAAAAGCCGAUCUCAGUCCGGAUCGGAGUCUGCAACUCGACUCCGUGAAGUCGGAAUCGCUAGUAAUCGUGGAUCAGAAUGCCACGGUGAAUACGUUCCCGGGCCUUGUACACACCGCCCGUCACACCAUGGGGAGUGGACUGCACCCAGAAGUGGUUAGCCUAACGCAAGAGGGCGAUCACCACGGUGUGGUCAUGACGGGUGAUCAAAAAAAAACCGCGGGGAAAAAAAAAAAAAAAAAAGGGGGGAAAAACAGC
rnacentral:rRNA from 1 species